rnacentral:hammerhead_ribozyme from 1 species
GCACUGCUGAGGUGUCCUGAAAUAGGACGAAACGACCGUCCAGUGC